GCCGAGGGGUUGAGAUGCGGCGUGGAAUCGAGCCGAGCUGCCGGCCUGCGUCAGUGUCGCUGUGCCCCGUGCGUGCAGCGGUCGUGAGAGGGGCGUUACGUGCCGCUCGCGCUAUACACUGUUAUUCGCGGUUCGCCAUCGAAAGCGCACGUGUCGCCGGCACCGAGCGCUGCAUUUAUUUACACAGUGUGCACCUGUGACCACGCAAAUAUUUGACGUGAUGUGAAAGACCAUUUUUGGUUCAACCUACUGGUGUUUUUAAACUAAACGUUCAAUUUGUGUUCGUUCAGACGUGCUUAGUUUGUGCCAAGUUCUGUACUGUGCGUUUGGUGUUAUCGACGUUUCUUAGAGUUUUACAAACUCAUUGCAUGUUUUGAAGUGUUCGAAUACGAAUUUCGGCGACAGCCAAGGCGUCAGCACCGAAAGUUGGAUGAACGCCAGCAUCUCCGGUGCUAAGGUACUUAUCACCGAUUAAAAUCAGUCAGUUGAACGAUGUUUGACACCAAAUUCGAGUAUGUCGGAAACUCCUCAAAUCAUCACUCAUCGUCUAUAUUGAAAU